rnacentral:rRNA from 1 species
UACGAAGGGGGCUAGCGUUGUUCGGAAUUACUGGGCGUAAAGCGCGCGUAGGCGGUGAUCUUUGUCAGAGGUGAAAGCCUGGGGCUCAACUCCAGAAUUGCCUUUGAAACGGGAUUGCUUGAGUCCGAGAGAGGAUGGCGGAAUUCCUAGUGUAGAGGUGAAAUUCGUAGAUAUUAGGAAGAACACCAAUGGCGAAGGCAGCUCGCUGGGACGGUACUGACGCUGAGACGCGAAAGCGUGGGGAGCAAACAGG